AUUGAACGCUGGCGGCAGGCCUAACACAUGCAAGUCGAGCGGAUGAAGGGAGCUUGCUCGUGGAUUCAGCGGCGGACGGGUGAGUAAGUCCUAGGAACCUGCCUGGCAGUUGGGUAUAACGUCCUGAAACGGGCGCUAAUACCGCAUACGUCCUGACGGAGAAAGGGUGGGAUCUUCGGACCUCACGCUAUCAGAUGAGCCUAGGUCGGAUUAGCUAGUUGGUGGGGUAAAGGCCUACCAAGGCGACGAUCCGUAACUGGUCCGAGAGGAUGAUCAGUCACACUGGAAAUGAGACACGGUCCAGAAUCCUACGGGAGGCAGCAGUGGGGAAUAUUGGACAAUGGGCGAAAGCCUGAUCCAGCCAUGCCGCGUGGGUGAAGAAGGUCUUCGGAUUGUAAAGCCCUUUUAGUUGGGAGGAAGGGCAGUAAGUUAAUACCUUGCUGUUUUGACGGUACCAAAAGAAUAAGCACCGGCUAACUUCGUG
rnacentral:rRNA from 1 species